rnacentral:rRNA from 1 species
AUUGAACGCUGGCGGCGUGCCUAACACAUGCAAGUCGAGCGGUAACAGGUGUAGCAAUACAUGCUGACGAGCGGCGGACGGGUGAGUAACGCUUGGGAAUCUGCCUAUUAGUGGGGGACAACCCGGGGAAACUCGGGCUAAUACCGCAUACGCUCUACGGAGGAAAGCCGGGGACCGCAAGGCCUGGCGCUAAUAGAUGAGCCCAAGUCGGAUUAGCUAGUUGGUAGGGAAUGGCCUACCAAGGCGACGAUCCGUAACUGGUCUGAGAGGACGACCAGUCACACCGGAACUGAGACACGGUCCGGACUCCUACGGGAGGCAGCAGUGGGGAAUAUUGGACAAUGGGCGAAAGCCUGAUCCAGCGACGCCGCGUGGGUGAAGAAGGCC